rnacentral:rRNA from 1 species
GAUGAACGCUGGCGGCGUGCCUAAUACAUGCAAGUCGAGCGGACGGACGAGACGCUUGCUUCUCUGUUGUUAGCGGAGGACGGGUGAGUAACACGUGGAUAACCUACCUAUAAUACUGGGAUAACUUCGGGAAACCGGCGCUAAUACCGUAUAAUAUUUUGCACCGCGUGGGUCAAUAGUGAAAUACGGUCUUGCUGUCACUUAUAGAUGGAUCCGCGCUGCAUUAGCUAGUUGGUAAGGUAACGGCUUACCAAGGCGACGAUGCAUAGCCGACCUGAGAGGGUGAUCGGCCACACUGGAACUGAGACGCGGUCCAGACUCCUACGGGAGGCAGCAGUAGGGAAUCUUCCGCAAUGGGCGAAAGCCUGACGGAGCAACGCCGCGUGAGUGAUGAAGGUCUUCGGAUCGUAAAACUCUGUUAUUAGGGAAGAACAUAUGUGUAAGUAACUGUGCACAUCUUGACGGUACCUAAUCAGAAAGCCACGGCUAACUACGUG